CCCUUAGAUGUUCUGGGCCGCACGCGCGCUACACUGAUGCAUUCAACGAGUUUUACCUUGGCCGAGAGGCCUGGGCAAUCUUUUAAACCUGUAUCGUGAUAGGGAUAGAUUAUUGCAAUUAUUAAUCUUGAACGAGGAAUUCCUAGUAAACGCAGAUCAUCAAUCUGCAUUGAUUACGUCCCUGCCCUUUGUACACACCGCCCGUCGCACCUACCGAUUGAAUGGUCCGGUGAAGCCUCGGGAUUGUGGCCAGUUCACUUUAUUGGGAGUUGGCUGCGAGAACUUGUCUAAACCUUAUCAUUUAGAGGAAGGUGAAGUCGUAACA
rnacentral:rRNA from 1 species